CACAGCCACCCUGCCAACCUCCCUGAGACACACAGCCACCCUGCCAACCUCCCUGAGACACACAGCCACCCUGCCAACCUCCCUGAGACACACAGCCACCCUGCCAACCUCCCUGAGACACACAGCCACCCUGCCAACCUCCCUGAGACACACAGCCACCCUGCCAACCUCCCUGAGACACACAGCCACCCUGCCAACCUCCCUGAGACACACAGCCACCCUGUAUUUUUAUAAACCACUUCCUGAUCUAUCUCUGGUCACCGCUGGAGGGUGCUGAUGCAUACAACACUGUAGACAAGAUACAACAAAAUGGUUAUCCACAGUGAUUGUGUGAUUUUGAUCGGCUAGCAGCAGGGUAGUGCUUCUACACCUGCAUUGCUUGCUGUUUGGGGUUUUAGGCUGGGUUUCUGUACAGCACUUUGAGAUAUCAGCUGAUGUACGAAGGGCUAUAUAAAUAAAAUUUGAUUGAUUGAUUGAUUGAUAGUGUACUGUCUACCCUGGGGUAACGGUUCUGGACAGUUAAGGUAAGUGUUGAAGCUGGGUGAAGAGGCAGGAGCUGGUCUUCUCUGUGAUAUAUGAAUGAUCUCCUUACAGGUUAAUAUUAUUACUGAAUGAUCUCCUUACGGGUUAAUAUUAAUACUGAAUGAUCUCCCUACAGGUUAAUAUUACUACUGAAUGUUCUCCCUACAGGUUAAUAUUACUACUGAAUGAUCUCCCUACAGGUUAAUAAACUACUGAAUGAUCUCCCUACAGGUUAAUAUUACUACUGAAUGAUCUCCCUACAGGUUAAUAUGACUACUGAAUGAUCUCCCUACAGGUUAAUAAACUACUGAAUGAUCUCCCUACAGGUUAAUAUUACUACUGAAUGAUCUCCCUACAGGUUAAUAUUACUACUGAAUGAUCUCCCUACAGGUUAAUAUUACUACUGAAUGAUCUCCCUACAGGUUAAUAAACUACUGAAUGAUCUCCCUACAGGUUAAUAUUACUACUGAAUGAUCUCCCUACAGGUUAAUAUGACUACUGAAUGAUCUCCCUACAGGUUAAUAAACUACUGAAUGAUCUCCCUACAGGUUAAUAUUACUACUGAAUGAUCUCCCUACAGGUUAAUAUGACUACUGAAUGAUCUCCCUACAGGUUAAUAUUACUACUGAAUGAUCUCCCUACAGGUUAAUAAACUACUGAAUGAUCUCCCUACAGGUUAAUAUUACUACUGAAUGAUCUCCCUACAGGUUAAUAUUACUACUGAAUGAUCUCCCUACAGGUUAAUAAACUACUGAAUGAUCUCCCUACAGGUUAAUAUUACUACUGAAUGAUCUCCCUACAGGUUAAUAUUACUACUGAAUGAUCUCCCUACAGGUUAAUAAACUACUGAAUGAUCUCCCUACAGGUUAAUAUUACUACUGAAUGAUCUCCCUACAGGUUAAUAUUACUACUGAAUGAUCUCCCUACAGGUUAAUAAACUACUGAAUGAUCUCCCUACAGGUUAAUAUUACUACUGAAUGAUCUCCCUACAGGUUAAUAUUACUACUGAAUGAUCUCCCUACAGGUUAAUAAACUACUGAAUGAUCUCCCUACAGGUUAAUAUUACUACUGAAUGAUCUCCCUACAGGUUAAUAUGACUACUGAAUGAUCUCCCUACAGGUUAAUAUUACUACUGAAUGAUCUCCCUACAGGUUAAUAAACUAGUGAAUGAUCUCCCUACAGGUUAAUAUUACUACUGAAUGAUCUCCCUUCAGGUUAAUAUUACUACUGAAUGAUCUCCCUACAGGUUAUAUUACUACUGAAUGAUCUCCCUACAGGUUAAUAUUACUACUGAAUGAUCUCCCUACAGGUUAAUAUUACUACUGAAUGAUCUCCCUACAGGUUAAUAUUACUACUGAAUGAUCUCCCUACAGGUUAAUAUUACUACUGAAUGA